rnacentral:snRNA from 1 species
AUCAUAAAUUGGUUCAUGAAAAUCCUAGGACACACUUCCAGAUAUGCUGACCCCUGUGAUUUCCCCAGAAGUGGGAAACUUGACCAUAGUUUGUGGUAGUGGGGGACUGCGUUUGCACUGUCCCAGA